rnacentral:rRNA from 1 species
UACGUAGGUGGCGAGCGUUGUCCGGAUUUACUGGGCGUAAAGAGCGCGCAGGCGGUCGUUCAAGUCGCGUGUGAAAGCCCCCGGCUCAACUGGGGAGGGUCACGCGAUACUGAUCGACUUGAAGGCAGGAGAGGGAAGUGGAAUUCCCGGUGUAGUGGUGAAAUGCGUAGAUAUCGGGAGGAACACCAGUGGCGAAGGCGACUUCCUGGCCUGUUCUUGACGCUGAGGCGCGAAAGCUAGGGGAGCAAACGGG